UUUGUAGAUGUACAGUGCAAGUUACAAGAAUUUUGCAAGACCUCAUGAUUAUGAAAAAUGAACACAUUUCAAGAUCCUGAAUAAGAGGUAAAUUUUUCUUCUAAUUAUUUGUAACUUUCUCCUUGUAUUUCUUCGACAAUUCUCAUAAUUUAUUAAUUGGUUUCAUGUUCUCAAUAGUGAGUUUUUAAAAUUUUCUAGAUGUGUGUUGCAGUUUCCAAGAAUGUCUCAAGUUGUUGGCUGAAGUGUUUUUGAUUACAAAAAUGAACACUGUCAUUGGAAAGUAUAUAAAAGGUUUUAAUAUUUUUCUGUCUUAUCUUACAUGAAAUGUUUUGAACAUUAUAUGAUUGCUUGUGAUCAAUAGUUUCAAAAAUCCCAACAGAAUAUUGCAAAAAUAGCAUGACCAUGUUACUUAUGACACAAAAUACAAAAAAUAAUAAACACAAUCUUUACGCUCUAAAUAUGGCGUUAUCUUGGGGCGAGGGUACUAAUUUUAUUAUUAGUGAACUUAAGAUCUACGACGCGGCCGGCUCAAUGACACACUUGCAAAAGAAAGAAAUUGUCAUGUCAGACAAAAAAUGUGAAUAAUUUGUGGUCCCAUGGGUAUUCUCAACGGCUUUGCCAUUCUGAGCACAACGUUAAACUAAGCAUUAUCAUGUCUUUCAUGCAACGUGAAAGCUUACUGCGUCCCAAGAGGUAUACUCAAAGUCGAAAUUACAGCAAACAUUUUGUCGCUUUAGUCAAACUUAGCAGUUUGUAAUGUUAUUUGAAAAAGCUUAAACAUUUAUUACUGACUAAUUUUGUGUUUUUAAUUUAAAUCAAGG